CAACUCGCCUACACGAAGCUGGAAUCGCUAGUAAUCGCGGAUCAGCACGCCGCGGUGAAUACGCUCCCGGGCCUUGUACACACCGCCCGUCACACCAUGAGAGUCUGUAACACCCAAAGCCGGUGGGAUAACCUUUAUAGGAGUCAGCCGUCUAAGGUAGGACAGAUGAUUAGGGUGAAGUCGUAACAAGGUAAC
rnacentral:rRNA from 1 species